rnacentral:rRNA from 1 species
AUUGAACGCUGGCGGCAGGCCUAACACAUGCAAGUCGAGCGGAUGAAGGGAGCUUGCUCCUGGAUUCAGCGGCGGACGGGUGAGUAAUGCCUAGGAAUCUGCCUGGUAGUGGGGGAUAACGUCCGGAAACGGGCGCUAAUACCGCAUACGUCCUGAGGGAGAAGGUGGGGGAUCUUCGGACCUCACGCUAUCAGAUGAGCCUAGGUCGGAUUAGCUAGUUGGUGGGGUAAAGGCCUACCAAGGCGACGAUCCGUAACUGGUCUGAGAGGGUGAUCAGUCACACUGGAACUGAGACACGGUCCAGACUCCUACGGGAGGCAGCAGUGGGGAAUAUUGGACAAUGGGCGAAAGCCUGAUCCAGCCAUGCCGCGUGUGUGAAGAAGGUCUUCGGAUUGUAAAGCACUUUAAGUUGGGAGGAAGGGCAGUAAGUUAAUACCUUGCUGUUUUGACGUUACCAACAGAAUAAGCACCGGCUAACUUCGUG